UACGUAGGGUGCGAGCGUUGUCCGUAAUUAUUGGGCGUAAAGAGCUUGUAGGCGGUUUGUCGCGUCUGCUGUGAAAUCUCAAGGCUCAACCUUGAGCUUGCAGUGGGUACGGGCAGACUAGAGUGUGGUAGGGGAGACUGGAAUUCCUGGUGUAGCGGUGAAAUGCGCAGAUAUCAGGAGGAACACCGGUGGCGAAGGCGGGUCUCUGGGCCGAUACUGACGCUGAGGAGCGAAAGCGUGGGGAGCGAACAGG
rnacentral:rRNA from 1 species